AAUGACCCAGCUUUCUCUGGGUAUCCCCGUGGCUAUCUAGCAAUCUCAAAAAUCUCUCAGGGUAUCUCCCUACUCUUAACUAUCAUGAUGAGAAUACUAAGAUCUAAGCUGCUCUCGUUUCUGCACAGGAACAAGACAUGUGGUAACCUUGCACAAUGAGGACUGGAAUGGAAGUGGACAUAUUUUUGUGCUUUCUAGGAAUUUAAGUGGGAGAUUGAAGGUCUGAACUGCUGGAUGACCGGGAAACAAACAAGCAACCUCCAAUCAACAAUUAGGACUCUUGUGCAAAGCUAACAAUGCAGUCAGGAUGAAAUGACAGGAACAUUAAGUACCUGGCGAUAUAUGUGGACCCCCAGAAGAUGUUCAGUAAUUGUGAUCUGUUUCUCUUGGCUGUGCUGAAGAGCAAACUUCCUCAGAAGUCACGUUGAGAAGCCCAGAAUGAGGAACCCCUAACCCAGGAAGAACAGUUUGCCUAUAAUCUGCGUGUUAUCUGCAUUUGAAGUGUGGACCUAUGUUUAAAUAUCUCUGACAAAAGUCACUGUUACCACUUGAAAAGAUAUGUUGAAUUCUAGUAUCUUUUUCUAUGUUCUCUCUCUCUCUCUCUCUCUCUCUCUCUCUCUCUCUCUCU